UACGACUCUCGGCAACGGAUAUCUAGGCUCUCGCAUCGAUGAAAAACGUAGCGAAAUGCGAUACUUGGUGUGAAUUGCGGAAUCCCGUGAACCAUGGAGUUUUUGAACGCAAGUUGCCCCCCAAGCCAUUAGGGCGAGGGCACGUCUGCCUGGGCGU
rnacentral:rRNA from 1 species